ACGCCGCGCUAUUGCUAUGCCACCAACCGUCCACUCCCACGCCACCCACCCGGAGCCAGAUCUAGAUCGAGACCCCCUCCACCGGCGGCCUCCCGUCCCUCCUUCCUCAACCUCAUCUCCUCUGUCAGAGCAACCGUUCCAAUCUUUGAGAUCUCAGCUCCCCCUCCCCCUCCUCCUCCACCCUCGUCUUGCCGCUGCUAAUCCUCCUGCUGCUGCUGCUGCUCGUGCAGGAGAGAGGAGGCCAUGACGCCAUCACCAUCGCCACCCUGGACAUGGACGUAGACAUGGGGGUGGAGGCGACGCAGAUGGGCGCGGAACCGGCGGCGCACGGGCGGCUGCUGUGGGCGACCGGCGGCGGGCGGAGGUACAUCAGCUACGACGCGCUACGGGGGACGUUGUGUUGUGCUCCCGGCCAGGGGUGCCCUACUACAACUGCCGCAUCAGCACCACCGCCAACCCCUACACCCGCGGCUGCGAGUCCAUCACCCACUGUCGCGAGGACGACCCUUCCUAGGUUGUAAACAGAAUCCAGAAAUUACGGAAGACUACUCAGCUUGAACCUACAGACUUAAUUGAUGUUUACUACGAGUCUGUAGACAACAGCAGCAAUACACUUGAAGAAAUUUUGCAGUCACAGGAUCAGUGUAUUAGGGACGUGCUUGGUAAUUCACUAGUUCCAAAGGCAGCGGCAACAUCAGAUAUGGAGUAGGAGGCACUACUGAACUUUGCAGCGAUGCUGAAGCAACGGAUGACACCAGAAACAAACUGUCACUAGUUUCCAGUUUGAUGCUGAAUUAUGAAUGAAUGCCUAGACAAAGUUGGAUUUCGUGUUGCUGACCGACUGCUGCUUGGGCCCUUCGCGUGGCGUCGUCUCUUCCUUUCACGAAGUUUGUUCUUUACGUAUUCUGACUAGUGGUUUACUAUCUCUCUACAUAGUUUCUUAGAUGGAAACCUCAUAGAGUAGUUAGUGUACAGCCAGAGUCCAGUAUCAUAUCUCAAUCUUGAAUAAAGCAUUUGAAUUUAAGCUAGUAGAUAUUGAGCUUUGUGAUUGAAGUGUCUGUUGAAUACAUCUAAUCUGAACAAUUUCACAUUUGCUUCUCUGAUAAGUAAGGUUUGUUUUCAUUUACAAGUAGAAGAUAGUGAUAGAGUUUGAAGGUAUGUGCAAAGAUCUUCUCCUCCGUCGCCGUCCGCGACAAAGCUGUUGGGUGCAUCCGUCCAUCAUCUUUAGAUCUGAGUGAAGAGGGCAUCCGUCCAUCUCAAAAGGAUGUGGAUGACCAUCUGAUGCUAUGCAGGUUUCUUCCCAAACUUAACGAUGAGAUACUAGGUGAAAGAAAUGCUCUCUACAAGGAAAGGUUGAGCAGCCUAGAGAAUUUAGUACUGAUCAUGAGGUGAUCGACGCAGACUACCGCGACCCGGUGGGCGUCGUGCUCUUCAACAACUCGGAGGCGGAUUUUGCUGUGAAGCCCGGCGACCGCGUCACACAGAUGAUUGUCUAGGUGAUUGCGAUGCCGAAGCUCGCCGAGGUGGAGGACCUUGACGUCACCGUCUGGAGGUCAUCGAGGUGGAGGACCUCGACGCCAUCGUCUCGAGGUUGCCGAGGUGGAGGACCUCGACGCCACCGUCUCGAGGUUGCCAAGGUGAAGGACCUCGACGCCUUGGUAGAUACAUCUAGAGAAGUGGUCAUGUUAGGUUGGUGGUGGAACGCUAGGGAAGGUACCCACCUUUUGGUGACGGUUGUGUGCGUCUGAUGUAUAAAUGGUAUCUCGUGAUUAGAUGUUCAAUGUUGUAUCCAUGAAUGUUGCAAGUGCUAAGAUGGUUCUGUGACAUUUUAUUUUGCCU